rnacentral:rRNA from 1 species
UGUGGGGUGCUCGAGUGGCGAACGGGUGAGUAACACGUGAGUAACCUGCCCUUGACUUUGGGAUAACUUCAGGAAACUGGGGCUAAUACCGGAUAGGAGCUCCUGCUGCAUGGUGGGGGUUGGAAAGUUUCGGCGGUUGGGGAUGGACUCGCGGCUUAUCAGCUUGUUGGUGGGGUAGCGGCUUACCAAGGCUUUGACGGGUAGCCGGCCUUAGAGGGUGACCGGCCACAUUGGGACUGAGAUACGGCCCAG